rnacentral:tRNA from 1 species
CUCAGCUGGGAGAGCGCCUGCUUUGCACGCAGGAGGUCAGCGGUUCGAUCCCGCUAGGCUCCACCA